UACGAAGGGGGCUAGCGUUGCUCGGAAUCACUGGGCGUAAAGGGUGCGUAGGCGGGUCUUUUAAGUCAGGGGUGAAAUCCUGGAGCUCAACUCCAGAACUGCCUUUGAUACUGAAGGUCUUGAGUUCGGGAGAGGUGAGUGGAACUGCGAGUGUAGAGGUGAAAAUUCGUAGAUAUUCGCAAGAACACCAGUGGCGAAGGCGGCUCACUGGCCCGAUACUGACGCUGAGGCACGAAAGCGUGGGGAGCAAACAGG
rnacentral:rRNA from 1 species